rnacentral:rRNA from 1 species
AGGCGAAUGCCAAAAAUAAACGUCCCAGUUCGGAUUGUAGUCUGCAACCCGACUACAUGAAGCCGGAAUCGCUAGUAAUCGCGGAUCAGAAUGCCGCGGUGAAUACGUUCCCGGGUCUUGUACACACCGCCCGUCACACCAUGGGAGUCGAUAACACCCGAAGCCUGUGAGCUAACCGUAAGGAGGCAGCAGUCGAAGGUGGGUUGAUGAUUGGGGUGAAGUCGUAACAAGGUAAC